AGAACAUGUAGAGCUGAUCUCCAUGUGACUGACUGUGUGUGUUUGCAUAUGUGUCCUGCCUCUCUGCUCCAGCUGUUAAGAGGUCAGAGUUGAUCAGUGGCUGUCCAGACCUUUCAGAGCCACUGACACACCAGCAGCACAAUGAUGAUGUCACUGACUCUACUGCUGACCAUCCUGGGGCUCCUGGUUCAGGGGUCUUCAGGACAAGUCACCAUAACUCAGACUCCUGGAUCUCAAUCCGUUGUUCCAGGACAGUCUGUCUCUAUUCAAUGUAAAGUCAGUCCAAGUACAGGCUACUGUUUCAGCUGGUACCUUCAGAAACCAGGAAAAGUUCCAAAACUCCUUAUUACCUGCUCAAGCACCCGUCAUUCUGGAACCCCUGAUCGUUUCAGUGGAUCAAAGUCUGGGGAUACUGACUUCACUCUGACCAUCAGUGGAGUUCAGGCUGAAGAUGCUGCAGUUUAUUACUGUCAGAGUUUUCAUGUCAUCAACGGCCAGCAAGUGUUCACACAGUGAAAAACAGUCAUACAAAAACCUCCCUCAGUC